rnacentral:lncRNA from 1 species
AUAGUUUCUUCUUGUUGCAAACAAAGGGAGCAUCGGUUAACAUGAUAGAUACCUCUUCUCUUAAUAUUAUCUAUUGUAGGUAGUUUAUUCAGAAGGGCCUGCCAUGUACAUAAGGAAUGUCUCUGUGAUCCCGGUCGAUCCCAUGUCCAACUGCUUGGGAGCCACUUGUUAUUUCUUUGCCUAAUUUGAUUCCAUGCGGAUGUGGCACUAAAUUUACCAUUGUCAUGAAGCCAAAUAAGUACAUCUGAAGGGUUGUUCCUGAUUGGAAUAGCUGUGAUAGUCGGCCAAAGUGAUAACAUUUCAGGAGAAAUAGGAGUAGGGAGACACUAGGUACCAUUAGCAAUGAACUCGGAAACCUUCCAAUCUUUGGGAGCCCCA